GGUAGAACAAUGUGCAGGUCGCCGUCAUAAAUAACAGUAAAAAAAUGAAUUAUGUUACUAUUUUUUUAUAUAAACUUUAAGAAGAAACCACAUUCGAAGAAAUGGUAUUUGAAGCACCAAAAAUGAGGCAAACGCAUUGAACCAGGUCAUUUCUGCAGCCGACAAAGAUGCAUUGUGGAAUCAUACUUCCACUAGACAAUUGAAGCCAAGACAAAUAUCGCCUUGUAAACAUUAUACGGAAAAGAUUCGCUGUGUUGCUGUCAGCUGCUGCUGUGCUGGUUGACAUUCCUUGUGUGACUUUUGUGGCCAUUAAUGGCUGCUGCCAUUGCCAGAACUAUCUUUUAAAUCCUCAUGCAUGAGGUCGAGUGAUUCAAGAACCAACAUGACCUGCUUCGGAUUUGGUUCCUGCACAUGAAUUAAUUUUUAUUUUACAUGCACAGCACUGUGCUAAGAUGCCGUCAAAUUAUUUGAGAAAAUCACAGCAACAAUCGUGGGAAUCCCAGGCUAUGCAACAUGCACUGGAAGCUGUAAGAAAAGAAAAGAUGCCCUUUGCAACAGCAGCCAUACAGUUCAAUGUUCCAAGAAACACACUUAAACGAAGAUUCCAGAAGAAAAACUGUGAUGCUACUGAAAAUCAGAAGAUUCUUGGAAGCUUUAGAUGUGUUUUCAACGAAAAGCAAGAAGAAGAACUUGCUAGCCAUAUUUUUGACAUGGAAUGACGAUAUUAUGGCAUAUCAGUAACUGAUUUACGACACUUGGCGUUUCAACUUGCUGAGCAGAAUUAUCUACCACACCCAUUUAAUAAAGAAAAAAAGAUGGCAGGCAAGGACUGGGUGGCACAGUUUUGGAAAAGACAUCUAAACGUAAGCCUUAGGAAACCAGAAUCCACUUCAAUGGCCAGGGCUCAGGGCUUUAAUAAAGCUAAUGUGCGAAGAUUUUUCAACAUUCUCCAGGAUAUGCAAGAAAAACUCUUUUUACCCUGGUCAUGUUGACAAAACUGGUCUAAUGACAGUUCAGUCUAGAAAUUUCAAAUUCUUCUCUUGUAAAGGCAGACGCCAAGUUGGUGCUGUUAUGUCAGCAGAAAAAGGUUUGCUUUCAACAGUAGCCAUAUGCAUGUCUGCAAUGGGGACAUUUAUUCCACCCUUUGUGAUAUUUCCCAGACAAAGAAUGAAAGUUGAACUUCAAGAUGGUGCUCUUCCAGGAAUCGAAUUUGCCUGCCAUCGUAGUGGAUGGUUGCAGAUGGAUAUUUUCAUGAAGUGGUUUGAUCAUUUCUUGAAUUACACAAAACCUGCGGCUGACGAUCCAGUCCUACUUAUUCUGGAUGGACACGCCACCCACACAAAAAAUACAGACUUAAUAGAAAAAGCCAGAGAAAAUCAUACAACUGUAGUGUGUUUGCCACCACAUUGUAGCCACAAACUACAACCUCUAGAUGUAUCAUUUAUGGCACCUUUCAAAACAUUCUAUGCCAGAGCUUGUGAAAUGUUUCUCUGAAACAACCCAGGAAGGGCAAUAACACAAUUCCAAAUCAGUCAGCUUCUUGGAGAGGCAUUUCUGCUGGCAGCAGUACUGUCUACAGCGGUAAAUGGAUUUCGUAAAUGCGGGAUUGUCCCUUUGGACCCGUAUAUAUUUUCAGAUGCAGAUUUCGUUGCUGCAGAGGUGUGCAUAUCGGACAUAGGCAUGAUCUGUGGAGAAAACUUAAAUGAUAAUAGAAGGGACACAGUAAAUGAGACAAACAAAGGAACUGAAUGUGUUAAAGACAUAGUUAAUAGGCCUAUGCAAAUUGAAGAUGAUGAAUUUGAUGUUGUAGCAGCAAAUAGUGAAGAAGCAGUUGAUAAUCCUACUAAUGAAAAUUAAGCUGUGCAGGAAGGAGAAGCGAGUGGCAAUAACAAUAAUAAAGGCAUUUUCAUGGCUGAUGCAAAUGAGAAGGUAACACAGUCAAUAUCUUUUGCAGUAAGCCCAAAAGAUAUUAUAGGCCUACCUUUACCAAAUUUAAAAUUACGCCAGCAGCAGCAGCAACAACAACAACAACAACAAAGAAAGAAAGGGGAAAGAAGGGGUCAGGCAACGAUAAUAACCUCUAGCCCUUACAAAACCGAGCUGUUAGGAGAUAAGGCGAAGAAGAAAAAGCAAAUCAAGAAAAGAACAUACACUGUAGGAAAAGAAGAAAUGACUAACAUGUCUAAACCACAUGUUGAAAUAAAAAGGCCUAAUAACAAAGCAAAAGUGCAAAUAGGAAAGCUAGGAGUAAAGUGCAAAAAGCAGCUUUUUGGAGAAUACAGCGAGGAAGAUAAGGACACUGAAUGUUUUUAUUGUAAUGAACCUUUCUAUAAAUCUAAAGACAAUGAAGGUUGGAUUAGAUGCUCUGAUUGCAAGCUGUGGGCUCAUGAAGAAUGUGCUGGAUGUGAUGAAGAUGAUGAUGUGUUUGUGUGUGAAUAUUGUAGAGAUAAGUGACUUAUGACCCUAAUUUGACUUUGAUCUCAUGACAAAUGGUGCACUGUAACUUAUAAGUAAAACUAUUAACGAUUUGUAUAAUUUGGUAAAUUGUUAAUACGUUUGAAUAUUUUUUCUCAAAUUUAAAUAAAUUUUUAAUUCUGUAAA